GAGCACUGCCAACUUUGAAGCGGCGCGACAUUUUCGACGCCAAAUACUAAACUGCAGUUCAGCGGCCAGCCGCGACGCUUUCCCGUUUGACAGCUACGAGUUCCGGGAAAAAACUUACACCACCCAUUCAAGAAGAGUCAAACAGAUAGCUUUAUUUCUAUUCUUCGUGAUUAAAACUAUAUCUACCUAUUUAAACUACAAUUGAAAAAAACUACCUAACCUAAGCUAAAACUAUUGCCGAACCAAGUGCAGUGAAACAAACGAACGAUAACCAGACAGUGGCACGUAAACAGGUUUGUGAAUCCUGCCCUACACGAAAUGUUGUGUUGUGCUAACCUCAAUUUUUCUACGCAUCACUAGCUAGUUUUCAGUGAGACCUUUUCGGAUUCAUCCGGCCCAGUGUAGAGCAUAGUACUGUGCUAAACAACAACGUGUUCCAUCCAGCGCUUUCUAGCUCGACUAUUGUUCCGGCUCUUCCAGCCUAGUUCAUAGAACUUAGCCUUCUCAAGCCGCAUCCGAGUAACAGCUCGUGAAUCGUUUCGGCUCAUCCAGCCAAGUUUAUCGAACUUAGCCUUCUCAAGCCGCGUCCGAGUAACAGCUCGUGAAUAGUUCCGGCUCCUCCAGCCAAGUUCCGAGAACUUUGCUCUAUCAAGCCGUGUAACACUAUCAGCCUUGGUCAGCUUUGCCUAGAAUCGUUCCGGUUGUAGGGAAAUCGACUCGAAACACUGAUUUUCUUGAAGCUGCUUUGCUAUCAAGACCGGUGUCCUUUUCCCCUCCUCCCCUACAUACAACUCGGAACAUUCUUCAAGAAAAUCAUCAUCCAUCGCGGGAGAUGGCAACUGCGAACGACGAUGCACCAUCUCCAG